CACGUAGGGGGCAAGCGUUGUUCGGAAUUACUGGGCGUAAAGGGCAUGUAGGCGGUCUGAUAAGCCUGGCGUGAAAGUCUAUGGCUCAACCAUGGGAUUGCGCUGGGAACUGUUGGACUUGAGUCACGGAGAGGAAGCUAGAAUUCCAGGUGUAGGGGUGAAAUCUGUAGAGAUCUGGAAGAAUACCGGUGGCGAAGGCGAGCUUCUGGCCGAUGACUGACGCUGAGGUGCGAAAGUGUGGGGAU
rnacentral:rRNA from 1 species